GUGGGGAAUAUUGGACAAUGGGCGCAAGCCUGAUCCAGCCAUGCCGCGUGAGUGAUGACGGCCCUAGGGUUGUAAAGCUCUUUCAACGGUGAAGAUAAUGACGGUAACCGUAGAAGAAGCCCCGGCUAACUUCGUGCCAGCAGCCGCGGUAAUACGAAGGGGGCUAGCGUUGUUCGGAAUUACUGGGCGUAAAGCGCACGUAGGCGGACUGAUAAGUCAGGGGUGAAAUCCCGGGGCUCAACCCCGGAACUGCCUUUGAUACUGUCAGUCUAGAGUUCGAGAGAGGUGAGUGGAAUUCCGAGUGUAGAGGUGAAAUUCGUAGAUAUUCGGAGGAACACCAGUGGCGAAGGCGGCUCACUGGCUCGAUACUGACGCUGAGGUGCGAAAGCGUGGGGAGCAAACAGGAUUAGAAACCCGGGUAGUCC
rnacentral:rRNA from 1 species